UGUGAAUGAACUAUGAACUCGUCCACCAAUGCUUCCAGCUUAAGUCAUCUUAGAGAGACAAUCAAGGCAUGUGUAUACCUGGUAGACUUCCUUAUCUGUUCUCUAUUCACCAUUCUGAUCCUGCACACUGUAUUGAGGGAUGCUGCCUUGAGAAAGGAAGUACGUUUCUACUUUUUGUGCCACCAUCUUGUUUGCUUGACUUUAUUCUUUGGUUUGGGAACCAUAUUUUGUGGUAUACGGGCAUUUAGAUUUAACGUUCCAGUCCUUGUGUGCUGGGUCAUCUUUGCUGUACAGAUAGUGAUUGGUAGAGGAGUUCUGUUAACCCUUGUCUUGAUGGCAUUGAACACUUGUGUUGCCGUGUGCUGGCCACUGAAACAUCAUGCACUUGUCCACUCCGUUAAGCGCAAAAUUGUUGCAUGCAUGUGGAUGAUUGCACUGCUUGAUCCUCUUAUAUCAAUAAUAUAUGAAAGUAUAAAGAAACCUCUGGAAUUACUUGUACUCUUGGAUCCAACUUGCCCUUCAGGUCUUACAAGCUUGGCUUCCAGAAUAGGUGGUGUCAUUUUCACACUCAUGGUCCUUGGUUUAAUCUUGGCUUCCUAUAUUUUAUUAUACAGAGAAGGGAGAAGAGCUGGACAUUUUAACAGCUCAAACGUCCAAGCCAGACGAACCAUCAUCAUACAUGGGAUACAGAUUGUUUUUCACAUUCUCCCGGUGAUAAUAAACAUUUCAAUAGGUGGAACAAACAGAUACAUUUCCUUGGACGUGACUAGUUUCAUUAUUUUUAGCCUCGCUCAGUGCCUCAGUCCUGUUGUUUACGGAUUAAGAUCUUCUGACCUGAGAAACAAACUCUUUAGAAGGCAACAUUAAUGUGGAAUUUAUGCCUGAAUGGACAAAUGAGCUAGUCACUUGGGCAAUGGUCAAGUUUACAUAGGUUAGAUGACCUAUUGCUCUGUAAGGUAAUAUUUAUAGCUUGAAAAAAAUGAAUGUUGGGUAUAUGACUUGUGCAUUUUUCAAGAAAAAUAAGACCAACAUAAAGCAGCAUUCCUCUCUUAAAGAGACACUACCAUGGUUUUCAGCAUUUUGUGGUGAACUUCUAGAAUAUUUCUGCAGAAAAAUAAUGUUUUUAGGGGAAAUUUGUUUUUAAAUUUGAAUGGUGUUCUCUUGCAAACAGUAUUUACUUAAAAAGUUAUUAAUAAUUUUCUCUGUCAUUUUGCGAAGAAUAUAUAUUCAAAUUCUAUAUUUCAUAUUUGCAUUAAUGGCCAAUAUAAUGGCUUGGCUUUUUCAGCGAUACCUAAGUCCCCUUAAGACGUCCACAUUUAACCUUUCCAUGAAGUGAGAUAGCAACGUACUUCUUAGCACAGAAGCAGCAGGCAAAUUAUCUAGCAAGUGAGAAAAAAAAAUUUCAGAAUUACUUUACCAUCAGAAACUAUGUAGGCAUGUGUUGCCAGGACCCAGCGUCAUUACCUCAGUGACUCCACUAACCAUUCCAAAAAUUUAAACACUGGAAAAUGUCUUCUGUGACAGUGUCUCUUUAACAUGAGGCUGAAAUCUUCUAUAUGUAUUCAUUUGCAGUAUUAACGUUUUCAGAAAACUUGGAGUUAUAUUAGUUAACAAUUAAAGGCCCUUUUGUUACACUCUUGCUAGGUGUCACUAGGAACAAUAGCAUAUUAAUCUGUAUGGUGUAUGUAAAGUGUAUUAUUAAUGCACUAUAUUAGAUAUGUGUAUAAGCUAUAUUAAUAUGUUAAAAAAAAGUCUUACUUGUCUUCUAUGAAAGCAUGUAACUAUAUAUGUUAGAUAUUAAACUAAUUGAUAAGUGGCAUGAUAGCGUGUUUGUUUAAAUGCACUUUCACUAUUAUCUCUGUUGGGGUCCCAAUGUAAUAUUUACUGCUUGAAGUCGACCAUAUUUUGGGUUAAACAAUUCUUUCUGAAGUCACUAACGUGAACAUUGUUAUCUUAAACAUGUAUUCUAAACGUUUUGGUGUCUCUGUCCCUAAUUAUAGUUGUGUUUAAAAGUUUGC